rnacentral:rRNA from 3 species
CCGCGACCCCAGGUCAGGCGGGA